CCUACGGGGGGCAGCAGUGAGGAAUAUUGGUCAAUGGGCGUAAGCCUGAACCAGCCAAGUCGCGUGCGGGAUGAAGGUUCUAUGGAUCGUAAACCUCUUUUAUAAGGGAAUAAAGUGCGGGACGUGUCCCGUUUUGUAUGUACCUUAUGAAUAAGGAUCGGCUAACUCGGCGCCAGCAGCCGCGGUAAUACGGAGGAUCCGAGCGUUACCCGGAUUUAUUGGGUGUAAAGGGUGAGUAGGCGGCCUUUUAAGUCAGCUGUGAAAUUCUGUGGCUGAACCAUAGAAUUGCCGUUGAAACUGGAAGGCUAGAGUAUGUUUGAGGCAGGCGGAAUGCGGGGUGUAGCAGUGAAAUGCGUAGAGAUCACGAAGAACCCCGAUGGCGAAGGCAGCCUGCCGAGCCAUGACUGACGCUGAUGCACGAAAGCGUGGGGAUCAAACAGGAUUAGAUACCCGAGUAGUC
rnacentral:rRNA from 1 species